GGACGAACGCUGGCGGCGUGCCUAACACAUGCAAGUCGGACGGAUCAGGUAUGACAGCUUGCUGUAGUGCCUGGUUAGUGGCGGACGGGUGAGUAACGCGUGAGGACCUACCCUGGAGAGGGGGAUAACGGCUGGAAACGGCUGCUAAUACCCCGUAAGCCGGAGGGUGAAAGGGAGCGAUCUGCUCCGGGGCGGCCUUGCGUCCUAUCAGCUAGUUGGUGGGGUAAAAGCCUACCAAGGCAGCGACGGGUAGCUGAUCCGAGAGGAUGAUCAGCCACAGGGGAACUGAGACACGGUCCCCACUCCUACGGGAGGCAGCAGUUGGGAAUAUUGCACAAUGGGCGAAAGCCUGAUGCAGCGACGCCGCGUGAAGGAAGAAGCCUUUCGGGGUGUAAACUUCUUUUGUCUGGGAGGAUUAUGACAGUACCAGACGAAUAAGUACCGGCUAACUACGUGCCAGAAGCCUCGGUGAUACGUAGGGUACAAGCAUUAUCCGGAAUUAUUGGGCGUAAAGCGUGUCUAGGUGGUUGUAAAAGUUUCUUGUUAAAUCUUCGGGCUCAACCCGGAAAUCGCAGGAAAUACUAUAUGACUAGAGACCAAUAGAGGUGUAUGGAACUCUCGGUGUAGGAGUGAUAUCCGUUGAUAUCGAGAGGAACACCAAAGGCGAAGGCAAUACACUAGAUUGGUUCUGACACUCAAGCACGAAAGCGUGGGGAGCGAAAAGGAUUAGAUACCCUUGUAGUCCACGCCGUAAACGAUGCAGACUAAUUGUUAGGAGUAUCGACCCUCCUAGCAGUGAAGCUAACGCGUUAAGUCUGCCGCCUGGGAAGUACGGUCGCAAGACUAGAACUCAAAGGAAUUGACGGGGGCUUGCACAAGCGGUGGAGCAUGUGGUUUAAUUCGACGAUAAGCGAAGAACCUUACCAGGACUUGACAUCCCAAUCGUAUCCUAUAGAAAUAUAGGAGUCAGUUCGGCUGGAUUGGUGACAGGUGCUGCACGGUUGUCGUCAGCUCGUGUCGUGAGAUGUUCCGUUAAGUCGGCUAACGAGCGAAACCCCUAUUGCCAGUUGUAUUUUUCUGGCGAGACUGCCUCGGUUAACGGGGAGGAAGGCGGGGAUGACGUCAAAUCAGCGUGGCUCUUACGUCCUGGGCUACACACGUGCUACAAUGGCAUUUACAAAGGGUCGCAAUAGCGCAAGCUGGAGCUAAUCCCUAAAAAUUGCCACAGUUCGGAUUGAGGGCUGCAACUUGCCCUCAUGAAGCUGGAAUCGCUAGUAAUCGUGGGUCAGCCAUACCACGGUGAAUACGUUCUCAAGCCU
rnacentral:rRNA from 1 species